rnacentral:lncRNA from 1 species
UUCUGGUCCAAAACAUCUACAAAGUAUUUUCAUCAAACUCAUGCAAACAUGAAAGGUUAAAGAAGAAGCAAACGAAAAUUAGAAUAAUGAAAGGUUAAAGUAAUUAAAUUUUGAUUAAUAUAAAUUGUUAAAACAAUUAAUGACGCACCUGAUCAAGCUGCGGCAACACUUAUUCUGUCAUUGCAAUCUCUUCCUCAUUCACAUACAAUCUCGAUUCCCUCAAAAACUUUUCCAACACCACAAAACUCAAAAAUCAGAUACAAAAGCAGUAUCAAAUUGAAAUUU